AGUGGGAAACCUACACAGAGGCUGGAACUCACUAUGGACUGAAUUGUGCAGGCCAGGAAAGAGAGAUGGAAGAUUUCAGUCCUCUUUACUAAAGCUACCCAAAGAGAUAAAAGCACGUUGGCAAAAUGUGAGAUGCUGUGAUUGUAAUUGAUGACACAAAGGAAGGAGAGACAAGAAGCAGCAUUUAGGUGCAUAAUUUGUGGUGCUCAAGUCCCAAAAGUGAGCUGCAGCUGGCUUGGUACCACUGCCAAACACUGAGUUAAACACCAAAAUGCAGUUGUCUCACUGAGAUGCCUUGGUGUGUUACAUCCUGCACAUGCUUGUCUUUCUCCACUGCACAAUGGAGAAGUGAGAAGCACGCACUGGUUUCAAGACUGGUGUUUUGUUGACUACAUAGCCUUACAGAAAGCUCCAAAAAAUUUGCAGACAAAUUUACUUUCCCUGUGUGUAAUAGGUCACUAUGGUAACUUGUUUCUGACUUACUGCAGUAGUCCUCUGUUGGAGGAAAGUCAACAAGCUCACAUUUGUUUCUAGUGAUCAAUGUAAAAAACCUUGUUGAGACUGAGUCUGUCUGAUGCAUUAGCAACUUUUUACCAAUCCAAAACCUAUGGAUUUGUGCAUCUCCAGCUCUUCAGGUAAAGAGAAUUGCAAAAAACAGAAGGCAUUUUUUGCUUUAUCUAUCAUACAGGUCGAGCAGGUGUUUUCCUUCAUGACUGUGCACCAGUGGGCUGCAUUUGGCUACCUACAGCAACUAUGUGCUGCUGCACUUGUGAAUCUCCUGUGGACUAAAGGCAAGCAUCUCAGAUGGAGACCCUUCUCAGAAGAAUCAGAAGGAUCCUUCUCAGAAGGAUUUCUUCCAAGACAGCCAUGGCUUGGAAGGAGACUUCUGUG
rnacentral:lncRNA from 1 species